CUGGAAGCCUUGGAGACUAUAGUCCUUCAUUUAUCCACAGAACAGGUACAGCUUGGGCAACAACAGUGGAAACUUCCCUUACAAUGUGCCUUCAUUCUGACUUGGAGAGAGACACCUUUAAGGGAAAAGGGGGAAUUCAGUUUACAUGUCUAUUCAAUACCUGGGGCUCAA
ensembl:misc_RNA